GCCGGGCACGGUGACGCACGCCUGUAAUCCCAGCAGCUGGGGGUGCCGAGGCAGGGGGGAUUGUGAGUUCAGAGCCAGCCUCAGCAAAAGCGAGGCUCUAAGCAACUCAGUGAGACCCUGUCUCUA
rnacentral:sRNA from 1 species